UACGUAGGGAGCAAGCGUUGUCCGGAAUCAUUGGGCGUAAAGCGCGCGUAGGUGGCUUCAUAAGUCCGUUGUGAAAGUCAAAGGCUCAACCUUUGAAAGCCGAUGGAUACUGUGAAGCUAGAGUACGGAAGAGGCGAGUGGAAUUUCCGGUGUAGCGGUGAAAUGCGUAGAUAUCGGAAGGAACACCAGUGGCGAAGGCGGCUACCUGGAUUGACAGCUGACACUGAGGCGCGAAAGCGUGGGGAGCAAACAGG
rnacentral:rRNA from 1 species